AUUUGUGUUUACAGGAGGAUCUGGUGGUUGCAGGGAAAACCCUAUUUGGCAAGCAAAACUUUUCCUCCUUCCAGGGCCAGAUAAUGGUGUUCUGCCCCCCACAAAAGAACUUGAGGAACUGGCUAAACUUGGAUUAGGUAAAUGAAAACCAGUGCAUGAGUCAACCACGGCCAGACAUUCAAACUCAAAAAUUGGGUUAAACUGGAGUUUAUCUGAAUUGAACAACUUUGUUUGCCAAAGCUACCCUCGCAUCAGUUUAAAUUUGGUUGGCUUUGAAUUGGCAAGGACAGGCAAAGGACGCAAGAUCCAGAAAUUACAAGUGUGUUCUAUGAAGGAACUAAAAUCAGUUGUUGGCAAAAGCAGACUUUACAUCGUGCCACGAGCCACUGUCUUGCAGGUACCAUCACCACCCUCUGCCAUGACCCAAAAUUCAUUUGCACCAUUCGCAGCUCCAGUAGUAGAUGAGACUCCACAAGUGGUUUCAGAUCAGGUGGCACCCACAUCUUCUACCAUAUCCAUGAAUUCAUUCCCACAACUCUCAAUUGCUCCAGUACAAGAUGACACCAUGGCUAAUGGUACCCAAGCGCAAAAUGUGGUUGCAAAUCAGGCUCUUCAAGAAUUGCGAGCUAUACAUGCCCAGCAAGACCAGGAG